AGAUGAAUGGUCGCAUUCAGUAGAAUGAUUUUUUUUUGUUGAAAGUUUUCUCUCUUCACUGAAGAAUUACUCUUUUAAAUUUAAAAGUAUAAUCCACAAUCAGUGCGAAGAACUUCCAACAGUUCAAAAUAUCAAUAACAAUAAACAAUAAACAUUCUACUGGAAACUGAAACAGCUGAAACGCAACCAGAUAAUAUAUCAUUUUACUAGUGCCGUAAAUACGAAUAUACUCUGCUUAAAUAAAAGAGAAGGAUUCUCAUUCUCUAUAUAUGUAUAGUUAAAGAGAACAAAAACACUACACAAUUAAUAACAAUUAAUCCUAUAAAGUGCAAUGUAUAAGUAAAUCAAUUAUCAGAAAUGCGACAGCUUCCAAAAGAAUAACAUGGCUGUCUUUGCUACUUGCACGGCUGGUUGAGGCUGUGCUAGAUUCUCCUGGUCCACCAGUACCACCUGCAUCCCCAUU